UACGUACUGGUUCUACUGCGCAUAGCUC
rnacentral:sRNA from 1 species